rnacentral:lncRNA from 1 species
GGGGCUGCGGCCGGCACAGCGGAGCCGCCUCCCGCCGCGCGGCCCCGCGACACGCUGGAAGCCGCCGGGCUGCUCGGGCUGGCGGUAGGUUCGCUGCGCAACAGUGACAACGACGGCAAAGCACCGACGGCCAGUGAGCUACCCCGCUUUCUCCGGGAUAGGCAUCCAUAGUUUUGGAGAUCUAAGCCAAGCUAUAUGCUGCUUCCUGUCCUGUCUCCUAGUGGCAGAUUCAUAAAAGGGAUAGCACAGCCUAGUUGCAUUAUUUUGCUGUUUGUUUCUUCUUCCUACCAUCUUACUGACUUUCUCUUCAGGUAUAAUUUUCAUUUUCUUUUGUAUUUAUAAAGAUUUGUGCCAGCAGUUGAUGCCAGGUAGACAGCUUUCCACUGGGAACUCACUGAACAUUCUCCCACACAGCAGUCACCAUUUGGUAACAGUUUUUGGCCACUACCGAAAAAGGAGCUGCCUAAGAACUUAGAGGUCUUGUGAUCUGAUCCCUUGAAGCACUGGUAAAUUCUCCCACAACACACACCUGAAAUCACAC